AAAUGCCUGCAAUCCCAGCACUCGGAUAGUGGAGGCAGAAGAAUCAGAAGUUCAACUAGAUCAAGAGUUCGGAGUUCCAGGCCAGCCUCAGCUACAAGAGACCUUGUCUAAAAUAAAACAAAAAUCAGCCUCUUGUUCACCUAGCCUAAGCUGACCAGGAAGUGACGAUUGCUUAGUGAGUGGGUCAGGUUGACUAGCAGAGCAUACCCACUCUGGCUACCUACGCCUGCCACUGCUUUGGGAGGAAGACCAGCUCUCCUGGGAGAAGUCUUCAUGGCUCCUUAACUCCCACAGCAUAUUCAUUUCCAGCAAUGGCUAGUGUUCAUUGUUGGCCUCAGUCAACUACAACCAAUCCCAAGUCAGCCUUCCAUCAGUGAGCCCCACUUCCUGGCUGUAGCUCUAUGUGGGGCUCUAUGGAGCCCUGAAGAGAGGUCUGGGACCCUAGGCCCCUCUAUGAGGAACAUCAAAGGCCAGGCCAAGGAAAUCAUGCUUCCUUAUCAGUGAUAGCAAGAUACCCUGAACAGACUCCGCUCAGACCCCCUGAUUGGCCCUUAAUGAAGCCAAGUCUUCCUUCCUCAGCAUCAAGGAUGUAGUGUCCUGUUUUAUGCUAAAAUUUGGGGUUAUGCCCAACAGUGGUGGCACACACCUAUAAUCCCAGCAUUCAAGAGACUAGACUGAGUGAGGCAAGAGGAUUUCAGGUUCAAGGCUAUAUAGUAAGACCGAGUCUAAAACCAAAACAAGCUGGGCACAGUGAUGUGCUUUUGUAAGCGCAGCCUUUAAGAGGUGAUUUCUGUAGGCUCCUGAGUCCAAGGUCAUCUUGGUUAUGUAUUGAAUUCUAGAUUCCAGGCCAGCCUGUAGUUCGUGAGAUCCUAUCUAAAAAAAAAAAAAAAAAAGAA
rnacentral:lncRNA from 1 species